rnacentral:rRNA from 1 species
AUUGAACGCUGGCGGCGUGCUUAACACAUGCAAGUCGAUCGGUAACAGGUGUAGCAAUACAUGCUGACGAGAGGCGGACGGGUGAGGAACGCUUGGGAAUCUGCCUAUCAGCGGGGGACAACCCGGGGAAACCCGGGCUAAUACCGCAUACGCUCUACGGAGGAAAGCCGGGGACCGCAAGGCCGGGCACGGAUAGAUGAGCCCAAGUCGGAUUAGCUAGUUGGCGGGGUAACGGCCCACCAAGGCGACGAUCCGUAGCUGGUCUGAGAGGACGAUCAGCCACACCGGAACUGAGACACGGUCCGGACUCCUACGGGAGGCAGCAGUGGGGAAUAUUGGACAAUGGGCGAAAGCCUGAUCCAGCGACGCCGCGUGGGUGAAGAAGGCCUGCGGGUUGUAAAGCCCUUUCGGUAGGGACGAAAGCUCUCGACCUAACACGUCGGGAGGUUGACUUAACCUACAAAAGAAGCACCGGCUAACUCUGUGCCAGCCGCCGCGGUAAAAC